AUGAAUUCCAGUGUCACCAAAGUCACAAGAAGGCCAGCCCUACCGGAAACCCCUGCUUUAAAUGAAGGAAUCGCUCGGACGAAAGGAGCGGUUUUCCGAAGGCAGCUGGAUCAAAGUGAAGUCACUCAGAAUAGCCCGCACGCAGGUUUCCUUUUGCUCCUAGGUUCACGCAGAGUGUUAGGCGCUCGGUGGCCCGGUCCGGCCCCUCCAGCGAGGAGACGUUCGGCGGGACACUCCGCGAGGAGCUCCUCUCUCUGCUAGCCCUGAGAAUAUCCUGGGAUCUCUCUCUCUCUUUUUUUUUUUUUUUUAAGACUUUAAAAAUAAUUUGGUGGAUCUCUAAUCUAGUUAUCUGCUGUAACUGCAAUAUGCGCUGUAUGUCUGACUCCCACAGACGAAGGCCUCUGUUUCCUUUCUGCCAGUACCUUAGUAUCUGCCUUGCCCAGGAGUCUGCUGAUGAAGACUUCCUGUUUGUUUUGAGUCACUGCUGGAGUGAUAAAUAUACUUCAGCUUUUCUCCUCCGAGAGGAAAGAAACCAGCUGCCCCGAACUACAGAGAAAAUAUGUAGAAAUUCCACCAAAGGGCCCCGUUAUCAUGGAGCUUCUAUGGCAGCAUGAAAAAAUGAGUAUUACAAGCUACGACAAAGGAGCAAUUUACAUAUUAAAACGGCCUUCCGCCCGCAUGGACUUAAGUUGUUUGCCUUUAAUCAUUUAUUUUCACUCUAUAACUUUAAUUUGGAGUGUUUUGGAAAUAAAUAAAUAAAUGCAAAACCCCCA
rnacentral:lncRNA from 1 species